UUAGGCCAGCUUGGCGUUGGUUGUCCAAGUUUAAGGUGGUAGGCUGAAAUCUUAGGUAAAUCCGGGGUUUCAAGGCCGAGAGCUGAUGACGAGUCGUCUUUUAGAUGACGAAGUGGUUGAUGCCAUGCUUCCAAGAAAAGCUUCUAAGCUUCAGGUAACCAGGAACCGUACCCCAAACCGACACAGGUGGUCGGGUAGAGAAUACCAAGGCGCUUGGGAGAACUCGGGUGAAGGAACUAGGCAAAAUGGCACCGUAACUUCGGGAGAAGGUGCGCCGGCUAGGGUGAAGGAUUUACUCCGUAAGCUCUGGCUGGUCGAAGAUACCAGGCCGCUGCGACUGUUUAUUAAAAACACAGCACUCUGCAAACACGAAAGUGGACGUAUAGGGUGUGACGCCUGCCCGGUGCCGGAAGGUUAAUUGAUGGGGUUAGCGCAAGCGAAGCUCUUGAUCGAAGCCCCGGUAAACGGCGGCCGUAACGAUAACGGUCCUAAGGUAGCGAAAUUCCUUGUCGGGUAAGUUCCGACCUGCACGAAUGGCGUAACGAUGGCGGCGCUGUCUCCACCCGAGACUCAGUGAAAUUGAAAUCGCUGUGAAGAUGCAGUGUAUCCGCGGCUAGACGGAAAGACCCCGUGAACCUUUACUGUAGCUUUGCACUGGACUUUGAGCCUGCUUGUGUAGGAUAGGUGGGAGGCUUUGAAGCGUGGACGCCAGUUCGCGUGGAGCCAUCCUUGAAAUACCACCCUGGCAUGCUUGAGGUUCUAACUCUGGUCCGUAAUCCGGAUCGAGGACAGUGUAUGGUGGGCAGUUUGACUGGGGCGGUCUCCUCCUAAAGAGUAACGGAGGAGUACGAAGGUGCGCUCAGACCGGUCGGAAAUCGGUCGCAGAGUAUAAAGGCAAAAGCGCGCUUGACUGCGAGACAGACACGUCGAGCAGGUACGAAAGUAGGUCUUAGUGAUCCGGUGGUUCUGUAUGGGAGGGCCAUCGCUCAACGGAUAAAAGGUACUCCGGGGAUAACAGGCUGAUACCGCCCAAGAGUUCAUAUCGACGGCGGUGUUUGGCACCUCGAUGUCGGCUCAUCACAUCCUGGGGCUGAAGCCGGUCCCAAGGGUAUGGCUGUUCGCCAUUUAAAGUGGUACGCGAGCUGGGUUUAGAACGUCGUGAGACAGUUCGGUCCCUAUCUGCCGUGGGCGUUUGAGAUUUGAGAGGGGCUGCUCCUAGUACGAGAGGACCGGAGUGGACGAACCUCUGGUGUUCCGGUUGUCACGCCAGUGGCAUUGCCGGGUAGCUAUGUUCGGAAAAGAUAACCGCUGAAAGCAUCUAAGCGGGAAACUUGCCUCAAGAUGAGAUCUCACUGGGAACUUGAUUCCCCUGAAGGGCCGUCGAAGACUACGACGUUGAUAGGCUGGGUGUGUAAGCGUUGUGAGGCGUUGAGCUAACCAGUACUAAUUGCCCGUGAGGCUUGACC
rnacentral:rRNA from 1 species